rnacentral:rRNA from 1 species
UAAUACUCCAUAGAUCAUGGGAUCUGGAAUGACCCAUGGUUGAAAGUUCCGGCGCUUAAGGAUCGCUUUGCGGCUUAUCAGUUUGUAGUGGGUGUAACGUACCCCCUAGCCAGUGACGAGUAUGGGCCUUGAGAGAGGGAGCCCAGAGUUGGAUUCUGAGACACGAAUCCAGGCCCUACGGGGCGCAGCAGUCGCGAAAACUUCACACUGGGGGCAACCCCGAUGAGGGAAUUCCUAGUGCUAGGACAUUUGUUCUAGCUUUUCUCUAGCGUAGAUAACUAGAGGAAUAAGGGCUGGGUAAGACGGGUGCCAGCCGCCGCGGUAAUACCUGCAGCCCAAGUGGUGGUCGAUUUUAUUGAGUCUAAAGCGUUCGUAGCCGGUUUGAUAAAUCCUUGGGUAAAUCGGGAAGCUUAACUUUCCGACUUCCGAGGAGACUGUCAAACUUGGGACCGGGAGAGGCUAGAGGUACUUCUGGGGUAGGGGUAAAAUCCUGUAAUCCUAGAAGGACCACCGGUGGCGAAGGCGUCUAGCUAGAACGGAUCCGACGGUGAGGGACGAAGCCCUGGGUCGCAAACGGGAUUAGAUACCCCGGUAGUCCAGGGUGUAAACGCUGCCGACUUGGUGU